GACAUACGAUGCAUUGGAUAGAUGAGAUGGAAGAAGAUAUGCAUUGAUGCUAUGUCAGAUAGAAUAGAUGACAUGUAUCUAUGGUGAAAUUGAACCGAUGAAAAAAAUCAGUUUACUUUUAUGAUAGUAAUGAUAGUGUACACUCAAUAAUCAAAAAGGAAAUUUGUUUGGCGAAACAGCGGAAGUAUAUCUAUUAUGCAAUGAUCGACCUGGGCCGAAAGCCAUUCGAAACUUUCGAUGGCUCAUGGAUAACCAUACAUUGGCAGCGGAUCACUGCACAGUAUCCGCCCAGCAGCAAUGAACCGGACCGGAACUAUGAAUUCCGAUUCAGAUACCGAAGAACUUUUUGGAUGGAUGCAAACAAUGAGCGAUGAAAGCUGAACCGAGCUUGGAAUCUAAAGUAAAGAAUAGCUGUCGACCAGGUUUGGAACUAUGGAACCACGGUUAGGAUUACGGAAUGACGGAUUUAUUUUACAAUAUUAUCUACUAUUCUUAUAACAAUGCAAUGUGAAUAUUUUUGAAUGAAUAAAUAACUCACUGGUUGACUA